GGGUAUAUCCCUCUAACUAUUUUUAGAAUCGGUAGGACAACAAAGAAGUGCCUUUAAGCAAAAUAGUCCCUAUACUUGCAGAGUGUAUAUACAUUUAUUGGGACAUUUUAAAUCAGAAUGCUUGACACAUGUCAGAAAAGAGGAUUUGCAAUUUUUAAAACAAGUGUCAAAAUUGAAUUAUCAUUUGAAGAAAAGAAUUGAAAUUGUUUGAUGUACACCCUUUCCAAAACUGAGAAAUUCCCUACUUUUACUUUCAUUUUCAGAGUUUUUCAAUACAGACGCAUUUUGCCGGAAAACGAAUCUGACUUCAAACCACGAAAUUUUAACAGGAAAGAGACAAUUUGAUGAGCUUUCAUUCAAGAGGUCCCUCGUUGCUGAACGAAAAUUAGGGCCGGAGCUAUGAACCAUAACGUUAACAUUACCGCCUAUGGAAAAUGCAUUAGUGGACUAUACCCAUAUUGAGCUCCAUGCUGAUAACAUGUAAAUUGAAAUGGAAGUCUUCUUCAAAGAAUAAAUACACAACAAUGAGCCACACUUGAUAGUUUUUCAAUACAGACGCAUUUUGCCGGAAAACGAAUCUGACUUCAAACCACGAAAUUUUAACAGGAAAGAGACAAUUCGAUGAGCUUUCAUUCAAGAGGUCCCUCGUUGCUGAACGAAAAUUAGGGCCGGAGCUAUGAACCAUAACGUUAACAUUACCGCCUAUGGAAAAUGCAUUAGUGGACUAUACCCAUAU